UACGUAGGUGGCAAGCGUUGUCCGGAUUUACUGGGCGUAAAGAGCGCGCAGGCGGUCGAUUUAGUCGCGUGUGAAAGCCCCCGGCUCAACUGGGGAGGGUCACGCGAUACUGAUCGACUCGAAGGCAGGAGAGGGUAGUGGAAUUCCCGGUGUAGUGGUGAAAUGCGUAGAUAUCGAGAGGAACACCUGCGGCGAAGGCGGGUUGCUGGGCUGACACUGACGCUGAUGCGCGAAAGCCAGGGGAGCGAACGGG
rnacentral:rRNA from 1 species